UCUCUCUCUCUCUCUCUCUCUAGCUUCCUGCCCUAAUCCCCUGGAAAGAAACUCUCUAUCUCUCUAGAUAUUCCCUGCCCUAGAAGGCAGGUCUCUCUCUCUCUAGAAGUAGAAGGAAAGGUUUCUCACUCUACUAUAACUUCUCGUCUUUUUCUCUCUCUUCCUUGGGAUAUCCCCUCCUCGCGUGCCUACCCUAAAAAGGAAAAACCCUCUCUCGCUCUACCCUCUGCUUCCGUUGCCCUCUGAUAUCUGCCUGCGUGUGCUUAAGUGUCUCUCUCUGACGUCCUCACUCACUUUCUCUCUCUAACUUCCAGCUCUCCAGACUGCCUUUCAAAGAAGGGAUCCAUCCCUUAUUUUAUCUCUCUAACGCCCCUUCUCAUUCUUCACAUAAAGAAACUCCCCCUUCCUCUCUCUUCAGAUAAAGAAAAGGCUUUCUCUCUCUAUCCCCCUUCCUCUCUCUUCAGAUAAAGAAAAGGCUUUCUCUCUCUACCCCAUUCUCGCUCUUCAGCCAAAGAAAAGGCUUUCUCUCUCUACCACUUUCGGUCUCUUCAGCUAAAGAAAAGGCUUUCUCUCUCUACCCCAUUCGGUCUCUUCAGCUAAAGAAACCGGCUUCCCAUAAAACAGUGACGCACGCUUAUAAUAUGAAGAGAGACCAUAGUUAAGAGAGUGAUGAAAUGAUCCUUGCUAAUUUUUUCGAAAUCGCUAGGUCCACCC
rnacentral:lncRNA from 1 species